rnacentral:lncRNA from 1 species
UUUUUAUUCCCGUACCAUAUUGACAGUUGGCAGUCCUUCCUGCUUCUUGUUUUCUGUUCCCUAGGUAGUCCUGCAAUCACCGCAGAACAAAACAAAUCAUUAUUACUAUCAAUAACAACAGGAAAAAAUUGUUUGGCCUUUCCCUUUUAUAACCUGUCGACAAAAUUUCACGUUUAGCCGAGUACUGACUGUUGCAGAAUUAUGCUUUAGGUUUUGAAGCCGGAGGGCCUCACACUCCUUCAAACAUAGAUCCAUGGUCUAUCAUUGGUGACGAAUCCUCCAUAUACGUGAAGACUGAAAGAACAUCUUGUUUCAGUAGAAAUAUCGUUGCUCUAAGGAUGGAAAUUCUUUGUGCCAAGUGUCCAGCUGGCGGUGUUGGUAUUUACAACCCAGGAUUCUGGGGCAUGGUAUGUUUUAUUCAUCCAUAUACCAAGUGGACAGUUACAUCAGCAUGAAAAUAUUAAUCAUAAAAAAAAUUACGGUCAACAGUUUACAAGCUACAGUAUUGCCAGUUGAAAAAUGAUGUCAAAUGUUUUUCUUCCCAAAAGUAAAACUGAAACAUAAAUUCACCUGUUCUAAUCCACAUCCAUAUUUUCCUUGGAUAAUUUUAGCUCUCCAUUUAAUGCUGUGCUUUUGCUUCCUUG